rnacentral:pre_miRNA from 1 species
AGGAGGAACAGCCCCAUUGGCGGGGCCGCUCUGGAAACCUGGAUUCAGCUCCGGCAGGAACUCCGUCUGCAGGGCCUGGAGGCUCCGGGGCGGG